GACGAACGCUGGCGGCGUGCCUAACACAUGCAAGUCGUACGAGAAAGCCGGCUUCGGCUGGUGAGUAAAGUGGCGCACGGGUGAGUAACGCGUGGAUAAUCUGCCCUUAAGUGUGGAAUAACGUACCGAAAGGUGCGCUAAUACCGCAUAAUGCCUGGCAACACAAGUUGUCCGGCCAAAGAAGGCCUCUGUUUACAAGCUUUCGCUUCAGGAUGAGUCCGCGUACCAUUAGCUUGUUGGUGGGGUAAUGGCCUACCAAGGCUGCGAUGGUUAGCUGGUCUGAGAGGAUGAUCAGCCACACUGGAACUGAGACACGGUCCAGACUCCUACGGGAGGCAGCAGUAGGGAAUAUUGCGCAAUGGAGGGAACUCUGACGCAGCGACGCCGCGUGAGCGAUGAAGGUCUUCGGAUCGUAAAGCUCUGUCCUCAGGGAAGAAGGUUAUUAACUUGACGGUACCUGAGGAGGAAGCCCCGGCUAACUACGUGCCAGCACG
rnacentral:rRNA from 1 species